GCCCCGCGCCGCGUCCGUUGCCAUGGCGACCGCAGGGGUGAGGGGGGAGCAGGAGCCCCCGCACUGCCGGCACCCGCUGGGAUGGGCCUGUGGAUCUGGUCCUGCCUCCCGUGCUACCCGUCUGCUGCGCCAGGGCACGUUGAGGUUGGACGUUUCUCCACAGAAAGGGUGAUCAAACACUGGAACGGGCUGCACAGGGAGGUGGUGGAGUCGCCGUCCCUGGAGGUGUUCAAGGAAAGACUGGACGCGGCACUGAGCGCCCUGGUCUAGUUGACACGGUGGUGUUGGGUCACAGGUUGGCCUCGAUGAUCUCAGAGGUCUUUUCCAACCUCAUUUUUUCUCUGAUUCUGUCUGGCGUCGUCUGGUGAUUCUCUGCAAAAACCUUGUUGCUUGAAGUACCCUCAGCCUCCAAGGAAUUGUAAUGUCUCCACCAGCUGCUGUAAAGCACCUUUCCAUGGUUGAUAUGUGCACCCCAAAAGCCAUUUUAUUACUUGCCCCAGCCUGGAUCACCGAGACAGGAUGUGGAAGAUGCAGUUCACAGCAGAAAUAGUUCUAAGUCCCUGCUCAGGACAUCCCCUGUCACAACUGGCAGGAGCUGAAGGGACACAUAGCAGCAAUCUGGUUACAGCGGGAUGGAAUGGGAGUAAUGGCUUUUCUCUGCAAAAAGAUACAGAACAUGUGCUGUGUAAGCUGGAUGACAUCAACUUACAAUGUCACAAGGUCUCUGGUUUCUCUCAGUGAGCCUUGGCUUAUCUUGCUUCUAAGUGUUGGAGAUUCCAUGAGGAAGCCUCAGAAUCCUCUGCCAGGAUGAGACAGUGACAAUGUUAUGUUACA